UCGAGAAAGAACGCGGCCGGGUACAGGCGC
rnacentral:sRNA from 1 species